UUUUUCAUCAUAUGGUAUAUUAAUAAAUUGGGAAUUAGGUAUGUGUUUUUCAUCAUAUGAGAUGUAAUAGAAGAAUACUAUUUCCGUUUGAUUAUGUAGUUUUUCCAAUUUUGUGUUUGAUCUGUUGUGUGUAUAGGAAACAAGGAUCGAAAAUUAAACUAGUUGCUUGAAAAUUCCUUCUUGAAAAUACAGGUUUAAGUUUAAGUUUGUGAAAUGCUAAAGUGGGAAGAAGAGUUUUUAUUAAUGACUGUGAGAUUUUUUUCAAGGUGGAAGUUGAAGCACUUGUAAUUCAAGGUCCGAAACUUGCCAAUGCAAUGAGCCAAGUUAAGAAAUUGGAGGUCUCUAUCUUGGUACUAGGCCAAAAGAAGCCAUCUUCUUUCUUUAGCUGCAGCUGCAGCAACACAGAAGAGUUUGUGGAGUAUUGUAUUAAUAAUGCAGAGUGCUUGACAAUAGGAGUAAGGAAGAGAAGCAAGGGCAAUAAUGGCUACCUAAUCAGCACCAGGUGGCAACAAAACUUUUGGUUUUUGGCUUAGAUUAUAGUUAUCUACUAGCUAGUACUUACUAGUUUAGAUCUCAUAAGAGGGGUUAACUGUGGAAAUAAAUUAACUUUGAUAUUUGUAUUCUCAUCUAGUAUCUAGUAUAAUCUAUCACACCAUGUAACUAAUUAAUUCUAACUAUAUAUCCUACUUUUACUAAUGUAAUAAGUCUUGUGAUUUUAGGCACUAUGGUAAUUGUCACCUCAACUACAUGUUUGAAAAUCACCAACUUGGCCAGUCUUGUGAUGUGAGCAAUUUUUUCAUUAUAUUUUUGGGUAGAUAACUCUGGUGUAGGAUCUAGAACUAAAAAGUCAUUGUAGGCUUGUAGCACAUUAGUAAUUGUACUAUAAAUCUGAUAAAUAAGUAACUUGCAUCCACUUAAUGCCAACACUAUAUAUUAGUUGCAAAUCACAUGCAUUUGAAACUGCAAAUCACAUCCACUUAAUGCCAACACUAUAUAUUAGCUGAAAAGGAAGACAUAUCGUAUCCUAAAUUUUCCUGCCACAGGUACAUUAUUGUCGAACAAGGUCUUGUUAAGGAUCCUGUAUUUUCAUUUUGGCUAAAUCGUGAUCCGAAAGCAGAGGAAGGUGGCGAGCUUGUUUUCGGUGGUGUCGAACCUGCUCACUUCAAGGGCAAACACUGGAAUUCCGGUGACAAGGAAAAGAUAUUGGCAGGUUUGGCAGGCUGUCAACAUGUUUGUUCUUUAUGCUAUGCUUAUAAUGCAUUUUUAAUAAUAUACUUGUGAUGGAAAACCCAAUGGUAAAUACUUGUUUGUUUCUUCUAUUACAUGACAAUAGCACUUUGCUAGAUGCUCCAUGAUACUAGUUUGUGACUGUUAUUCAGUUCUGUUUCAGUUAGUAAGACUUAGGGAAUCUGUCAUUCAGUUCAGUUAGUAAGAUAUGACUUGAAUAUGGAGAAGUGCAUGAUUUUUUAUGUUCUAUUGAUUUUACAUGUGCAGGGAUAAAAAAAGUGUUGACUUCAAAAAACUUUAUGCUCAUGUUCACCAGUUUAAGGAUAGCAGUGCAAAGGUCUAAUUUUCGGACAGAGUGGAAGCGGAAAAACAACUCUCUUGCAGUUCCUUGCAGGAAUAAGAAACCAACAUCUGGAUCCAUUCACAUAUAUUUUUUUGGGGAUGAUGGGAAUUCUAGUCAAUCUACAAAGCCGUUGGUGCCGAAAAGGGUUGGUAUUGUCUUCCAGUUUUCAGAGAGGUACAAAUAUAAACUAAUAAAAUAUGGUAAUAGGUUUUGUUAUUUCAUAACUUGCAUUUUGUUUUAAUCUUGUGUUGUAAAUAUUGAGCUAUAAUGCUAUAGACAUCUACUACAUUGUUUCAAUUUCACUCUAGGAAUUGCUACAGAUUAAAUGUGGCUCAGCCCAAGAAGAACAGACCUAGAAAAGUUCACAAUGAACCAACAUUUCAGGCUUACCACAUCUUGUAAUUUAUAUUUCUUUUGUGGAUACUAAUUGCAGCUUGAGUAGGAAAUAGUGGCAACUGGUGGCUCAAUCCCUAUGAUGGAAUGGAACUGUGUUUCUAAGUGAGUGAAUAUAUAGAGAUAAUACACAUUUCACUUAGAUUAUGCUUAUGUGCCUCUGGGAUUUUGUUUGCUCUCCAUAUGCAAUUGCACUUUACAUCUCAUUGUAUUGUUGGUUUUUUUUGACAGUAUGAUUGUAUUGUUGGUUAAUCAUAGAAGAAAACAUGUAUGAACUCUAGUAUGAGUAUCAUCUUCUUUUAAA